AGCAGUCGCCGCGGUAAUACGGAGGGUGCAAGCGUUAAUCGGAUUUACUGGGCGUAAAGCGUGCGUAGGCGGCUUUUUAAGUCGGAUGUGAAAUCCCUGAGCUUAACUUAGGAAUUGCAUUCGAUACUGGGAAGCUAGAGUAUGGGAGAGGAUGGUAGAAUUCCAGGUGUAGCGGUGAAAUGCGUAGAGAUCUGGAGGAAUACCGAUGGCGAAGGCAGCCAUCUGGCCUAAUACUGACGCUGAGGUACGAAAGCAUGGGGAGCAAACAGGAUUAGAGACCCGUGUAGUCCCUGUCUCUUAUAC
rnacentral:rRNA from 1 species